GACGAACGCUGGCGGCGUGCCUAAUACAUGCAAGUUGAGCGAUGAAGAUUGGUGCUUGCACCAAUUUGAAGAGCAGCGAACGGGUGAGUAACGCGUGGGGAAUCUGCCUUUGAGCGGGGGACAACAUUUGGAAACGAAUGCUAAUACCGCAUAACAACUUUAAACAUAAGUUUUAAGUUUGAAAGAUGCAAUUGCAUCACUCAAAGAUGAUCCCGCGUUGUAUUAGCUAGUUGGUGAGGUAAAGGCUCACCAGGGCGAUGAUACAUAGCCGACCUGAGAGGGUGAUCGGCCACAUUGGGACUGAGACACGGCCCAAACUCCUACGGGAGGCAGCAGUAGGGAAUCUUCGGCAAUGGACGAAAGUCUGACCGAGCAACGCCGCGUGAGUGAAGAAGGUUUUCGGAUCGUAAAACUCUGUUGGUAGAGAAGAACGUUGGUGAGAGUGGAAAGCUCAUCAAGUGACGGUAACUACCCAGAAAGGGACGGCUAACUACGU
rnacentral:rRNA from 1 species